CGGACCGGCGCACGGGUGCGUAACGCGUAUGCAACCUACCUUUAACAGGGGCAUAACACUGAGAAAUUGGUACUAAUACCCCAUAAUAUCAUAGAAGGCAUCUUUUAUGGUUGAAAAUUCCGAUGGUUAGAGAUGGGCAUGCGUUGUAUUAGCUAGUUGGUGGGGUAACGGCUCACCAAGGCGACGAUACAUAGGGGGACUGAGAGGUUAACCCCCCACACUGGUACUGAGACACGGACCAG
rnacentral:rRNA from 1 species